rnacentral:miRNA from 1 species
AUUUGUAUUACGUGCGAAAUUGUUACCAUUUUCGGCUCAAAAAUGGUAACAAUUUCCGCACGUAAUACAAAU